UGUGCCUCAUGGAGCUGUCGUAAGGAAUCAGUUGAUUAAUUGAGAAUUCUACGCUCCAGCAAUAGCAGAGAUAGAUGACACAAAUGACAUUCGCCCGCCCAUGGCUGCCCAUGGACCAAUUGGCAUGUGCUUCCUUCCCUCUGAGGCCCAUAGAAGCCCUGGACUCAAUCUGACUCAAGGAGAUGAUGGGACUACAAGCUGCGGAAAGGAGCUACCCACUCCAAGGUCUCUGCUGAGAGCUGAACACUCAUCAAGACACCCUGCCUGCAGGGAGGAGUUACCCAAUGCAGGUCUCCUCUGAGCUGUUCCAUUGCUCAAUAAAACUCCUCUUUGCCUUGCUCACCCUCCACUUGUCCGUCUACCUCAUUCUUCCUGGACACAGGACAAGAACUCGGGACCUGCAAAAGGGCUGUAACACAAACAGGGCUGAAACACAUCCCUUGCUCGCCAUAUUGUAGGUGACAAGAAGGAGAGACAAGAGAAGGAGAGAAGAGCUGCAGCCCUUCUGGGAGCCCAGGCCUAGGAGAUCCCUGAGCCAGGGCUAUGACACCCUCUUUGGGGCUCUAUGGUUCCUGGUGUCUCCAAGCUUCCGGAUGCCACUGCAUUCCUCAGUGCCAGCCGUGGAAGCUGCUGUGGUACAUUUGGUCCAGCCACAGCCUUGCAGGGAGCUGGCUCCCAUGCUGGUGCCUAUAGCUCCCCGCCCCACCACAGCCAGCUUGCCUGGCCAUGCACAGUGGCCAGACCUCAUGCUCACUCAUGCACCCUUCGCCACUCCGCACCUGGCCCGCCCUUGGCAGGUAUGGGAUUCAGGGAUCCAGCCCCAGCCGAUUGCAGCCUGCCAGGCCGAGUGGGUGGAAUGAGACCUGUGGGCCCAAGCAAAACUCAGGCAAAGGCACCACUGGCCACAUAGGUUUCCAGCUGGUGAAGUGACACCCUGAGAAUCCCAUGACAUUAUCAUACACUCUUCUUAAAAACUGAACCCGAGGGAAAAAAUGAUACCCUUGAACGGUGAGGCAUAA
rnacentral:lncRNA from 1 species